rnacentral:lncRNA from 1 species
UGCUUACCAAGUUCUAAGGCCUUACUGAUUUCCAGUCAACUUGUUCUAUCCAUUAUUGAGAGACGAGUGUUAUAGUCAGCAACUAUAAUUAGCCGUCUGUUCUCAGGCCAAGCUUGCUUCCUACUCUGCCAUAAGGUGAGCCAUCUCUACCUGCCUGGAGAUGGACCUGCGGUCAUCCAGUUCCACCAGUGCCUGGCUGGAGCUAUAAGUUGGUGCUGUUUGCCAGGGUUGGUGUCUACAGAGGGCCAGGGGAAUUCCAAGCGAGGGACUCAAGGAGAGCUUCUUGGACUCCUCAAGUUCUACCAGGAGGCAGUGCUAUGGUGUGCCCAACCCUCCCAGGGGCCUAAGUGGCCACCCUCUUGGGAAUGCCCAAAGCAUCUGCUAUUUAGGACUUGGUUACAGAGCACCAUCAGCUUCCCCAAGUUUGCAAGCAAGCAUUUUCCCAGGAGAUAGAGUGGCCAAGGUAUUGCUUGUGUCUGACCCCCUUCUUCUGUCUGAAACAAGGGCUACCCUCCACCCAGCCACUGUCUAAAGAGCUUCAUUUAAAGUUGGAUAAAGGCAGUUUCCGACUACAGGAGACCUGCAGACUUACCAUGUGUUCCUUGGAGCACCCUGGCUUAGUCAGGAUCUUUCUGAAUGCUCCCUUUGGGUGCACCUCUUGUUGAUACAAGCAAAAACUAGCAUAGGGACCCUGGAGCAGGAAGUGAAUAGGUAUUGUUGAAACCAUCCCAAUAAACCUUUAUGAGGCCCCUAUUCUGAGUUAGGCUGACUCAUGGCUUGA